rnacentral:lncRNA from 1 species
UGGCCACUGGCUUGUGAGCAGUGAGUAAAUAAUGCCCACUGUCCACCAUACAAUAGACCUUAAUGGAGUUAGAGCAAAGUGGCAAGUAAUUAAAACCCACUUCUAACAAUUAAGUGUGAAUGCCCCACGGGAAGGAUAUGUUCUGGACAGCUGGCCACAAAAGACUGGGGACCUCUUUCACUAAAUGACAAGCCAAUAUACUUACUCUAUAAUAAAGGUCUUCCUUCCUAGCCAUUUCCAUGGAAAUACAAUCUGAAGAUUUCAUGUGGUGAUCUCUGAUUCAAAGAUUUCCUUAGUUAAGCAAAUUACUGAAGCAAAAACUUUCAUGACCUGGAAGGAAAAAGGAAACAGAGCAACCAAGGAUUCUGCCUGUAUAUGGCAGGAUUGAGCCUAUUCCCUCAUGACUGUGGAAAUCACCGAGUGUGGACAAUCAGUGUUGUGCUUCACACCUUCACAAGCAUGAAGAGUAAGGCUAGUUUGUUUCCCAAGUUGACUAAUGUAGAUUGCAGCCAUCCCAAAUAUAGAAGGGAUUAACUAAUUGGACUCACUUCCUGCUAUUACCAAGCACUGAAACUUGCAAUUGACCUUGAUGUAAGGUUUAAGGGGUGGAACACCUAGCCUUUGUCUUCCACAUAUUACCUUCUCCUAGUCCCAGCCCUCAUCACCAACACGAAGAUGUUGUUCACUGAGUGUUGAACACCUCCUUUUGUGGAGCUAGCUGAGAAGAAAUGGCAGUGACAUAAAGGGAAGAAGGAGGGGUAAUGUAUAACUUACAAAUUCCAUAUGAUUUUUAAUUCAUAAAAAAUUAGACAUGUAAUUGGGCAUUAAAUUUGACUUUUCCUGUUGCCUUGGAUUUUCAACAACAACAAAAACUGCAGUAGUUUCUCCCACAGCUUAAAGAAGAUGCUCUACCACCUAAGUGGGACACACUUGGAGAUUAUGUUGGCUAUUCUGCCAAAGAUAGCUCAUCCUCCACCUCCAGACUACAGAAGAUGUGGCCAAGAACUCAUGGCAAACAUUUGGAAGAACUAGCAAGCUUCAGAGUCCCUGGGCCUUUUGCCUUUCCUACAACAUGGAUCAAAGACUGCUUCUCUGUCACCUCACUUAUUUUUCCUAAGUUUGACUUGAGAGAAAAAGUGAAAAGUUUUCCACCAAUGGACUGCAGUUGUCCUCUGCCAUCAGAGUAGCACAGUUUUCGCCUCCUUGCAGCUGUCUUGUAUGGCUCUAUAAUAUGUGUGUUGUUUCCCUUCCUGCUCCAAUCCCCACAUCCGGGAAGUGCUACAGUUUCCUCCUCUGGGUUCUGGGAUGUGCUGAGGCAUAGCAGAGCGGGACGUGGUUUUCUUCCAGCUGAAAGCUUCCCAGAGCCCCUUAAGACCUGCCUUCACUUUCUAGAGUGAGUUUAGAAACUUCAGAACUAUGAGAA